GACGAACGCUGGCGGCGUGCUUAACACAUGCAAGUCGAACGGAAAGGCCCGGCUUUUGUGGGGUGCUCGAUUGGCGAAGGGGGGAGUAACACGUGAGUAACCUGCCCUUAACUUUGGGAUAACUUCAGGAAACUGGGGCUAAUACCGGAUAGGAUCUCCUGCUGCGUGGGGGGGGUUGGUAAGAUUCGGCCGUGGGGGCUGGUCUCGCGGCUUAUGCGCUGCUUGGGCGGGUAGUCGCUUACCAAGGCUGUGACGGGUAGCCCGCCUGGGAGGGUAGACGGCGACAAUAGGCCUGCGAUACGCCGCAGACUCCUACGGGCGGCAGCAGUCGGGAGUCUUGCACAAUGACCGCACGCGUGAUGCAGCGACGCCCCGUGCGUGAUGCUGGCCUUCGGGUUGUGAACCGCUUUCGCCUGUGCCGAAGCGUGCGUGACGGUAAUGGGUCAAGAAGCACCGGCUAACUACGUG
rnacentral:rRNA from 1 species